rnacentral:rRNA from 1 species
ACACUGACGUCGCGACGCAUAUCAAUAAGCGGAGGAAAAGAAACUAACUAGGAUUCCCUCAGUAACGGCGAGUGAAGCGGGAAGAGCUCAAAUUUGAAAUCUUCAAGGUUCUACCUUGACGAAUUGUAGUUUAAAGAAGUGUUUUCUGUUAGUGGAGUGGCAAAAGUUCUUUGGAAUAGGACAUCAUAGAGGGUGAGAAUCCCGUAUUUGGUCAUUCCUUCUAGCUUUGUGAUACACUUUCAAAGAGUCGGAUUGUUUGGGAAUGCAGUCCAAAAUGGGUGGUAAAUUUCAUCUAAAGCUAAAUAUUGGCGAGAGACCGAUAGCGAACAAGUACCGUGAGGGAAAGAUGAAAAGAACUUUGAAAAGAGAGUUAAACAGUACGUGAAAUUGUCAAAAGGGAAGCGUUUGACACCAGUGUUGUUUUUCCGAAAAUCAAUUAUAAAUGUUUUGUUUCUGAGGAGUGAUGACUUCAUCGGCUUCCUUCUCUCUUCACGAAACUUUUGUAAUGCACUUUUCGGUUAACAAGUCAACAUCAAUUUCUUUUGUUGUAAAAGAGUAUUCGGAAGGUGGCUUUCUUUUCGGAGAAAGUGUUUAUAGCCCUAUACUUCUACAAUCGGAGAGAUUGAGGUCUGCAGCGUAGAUCCUUCGGGGUUAGAUACACUUGUGCUAAGUUAUAGCUUUUCAUAGACAACUUGUUGACUAUGUUUAGUCUUGUAGCUUACUCGCUUGUGCUAUUUUACCUACGCUUAGGAUGUUGAGUCGUAGAGCACGCA